GAUGAACGCUGGCGGCGUGCCUAAUACAUGCAAGUCGAGCGAACAGACGAGGAGCUUGCUCCUCUGACGUUAGCGGCGGACGGGUGAGUAACACGUGGAUAACCUACCUAUAAGACUGGGAUAACUUCGGGAAACCGGAGCUAAUACCGGAUAAUAUAUUGAACCGCAUGGUUCAAUAGUGAAAGACGGUUUUGCUGUCACUUAUAGAUGGAUCCGCGCCGCAUUAGCUAGUUGGUAAGGUAACGGCUUACCAAGGCAACGAUGCGUAGCCGACCUGAGAGGGAGGGAGGGCAGACGGGACUAGCGAAACGGUACAGACACCAACGGGAGGCAGCAGUAGGGAGUGUUUUUGAAUGGGCGAAAGCCUGAAAGAGCAAGUCAUAGGGAAUAAUGAAAGUCUUCGGAUAGUAAAACUUUGUUAUUAGGGAAGAACAAAAGUGUAAGUAAAAAUGCACGUCUUGACGGGGCCUAAUCAGAAAACCACGGCUAACUACGU
rnacentral:rRNA from 1 species